GGCGGGAUAGCUCAGUUGGUUAGAGCGUCGGAUUCAUAACCCGGAGGUCUCGAGUUCAAUUCUCGAUCCCGCUAC
rnacentral:tRNA from 1 species